UCCUUUAACAAAAUGGCCGGCCAUAGGGUUUCAUUGGGCUUUUAAGGCCUUUGUGAAUUAUUUUUCAUUAAGUUGUCAUACAACUUAAGUCAAUAGGCUUGACGUUCGAAGCCCAUUAGGCCUUGAGGCCCAAAACUAACCCGUGGUCUUUUAACGAACUCGAUUAGUUUGAUUAAUUAACAUAUUAAUUAAUCCUUGCCAUAAAUAAUUAAACCAUUUAAUUAUUCUUACUCAUCUCCAUUGCUUCUUCAAUCUAUGCCUUACACGGUGUAUGAUCCAUUAGGUUCCUUUUAGCGAGGCAGUGGGCGAUUAAAACUCUUUCAAAUCGAUUGUGAAUUGAAACUUACUUUCAAUUCUCCCUUUAGUGAUUUAUACACGUUUAGGGCUUCCACAAACCAUGAGUGACACCUAGCAGUAUGUCAUGGUUACCCAAGCUAAUUAGAAGAGGUGGAGAACCUGUUCAGUUUAGGAUUACAAUGCAAUAUGGUCUUUCUCUAAUACAAUACUCUUGAUCACAUUGUUUGGAUUGAUAGUUUAUUCAUGUCUACUAUCCAAUGUGAUUCAUGUGCUUAUAUGAUUACCUUGAAUGUGAUUUGGAACGACUUCCUAAAUAUCAUUCACACUCUGGCCAGAGAUUCUUAAUCAUAUCAUAGAGUAUUCUCCCUCAAACGGUUUGAAGGUUAGAGAUCCCUUGUUGCGCAUUCACUUGCCUCUAUGGCUAAGUGGCUUAACCCCAACUAUGCCGUGGACACUCUCCUGAUGGAGUGACUUUGACAUAAUCAAAGAUCAAGGACUUAACCACAAGACAACUACAAUGCCUCAGGUCAAAGGACUACUUUGCAUUAUCGCAACCAUGAGUUCUCAUGUGACAUAAGUAUGAGAACUCCUCGUUGAUCGUGUUCAGUGAACUCAUUCUCUAUUGAGCACCUACGUACUUAUCUUGAUGUCACACACACACCAAUGACUCGAGACUAGUCACUCUCCCUGAGAAAAGACACAGCACGUACUGAUCUUAACGGACUGUCAAUGCCCAAUUGGCAAUCCUAUGAUCAGGUGUUGGAAAUGUGCCCUAAAACCAAUCAUAUGAUGAUACUUUACGGACAUUUCACAUGUUAAACUAAUCUAGUUUAAUAUCAAGGGCAAAGAUUAUUGUUUUAAACCAUCUCAUAUAAAUGUUAUAUGCUUAAACGAUAAGUCCAGGGAAUAUGUAAUUAGGAGAAUGUGAUUUAAACAAGUUAGAUUAAUGAGACCAUUCUCUUUCGUUUACAUAUCCUAAACGUUCCUGAUUAUAGGAUUGCUAAUUGGGCAUUGACAGUCCGUUAAGAUCAAUACAUGCUAUGUCUUCUCUUAGUGAGAGUGACUAGUCUCGAGUCAUUGGUGUGAUUGACACCAAGACAAGCAUGUAGGUGCUCAAUAGCGAAUGAGUCCACUGAACACGAUCAACGAGGAGUUCUCAUACUCAUGUCACAUGAGAACUCAUGGUUGGGAUAAUGCAAAGUAGUCCUUUGACCUGAGGCAUCAUAGUUGUCUUGUGGUUAAGUCCUCUAUCUUUUAUUGUGUUAAAGUCACUCCAUUCGAGGGUGUCCAUGACAUAGUUGGGGUUAAGCCACUUAGCCAUGGAGGCAAGUGAAUGCGCAACAAGGGAUCUCUAACCUUCAAACCGUUUGGGGGAGAAUACUCUAUGAUAUGAUUAAGAAAAUCUCUGGCCAGAGUAUGAAUGAGAUUUAGGAAGUCGUUCCAAAUCUCAUUCAAGGUAAUCAUAUAAGCACACUAAUCAUAUUGGAUAGUAGACAUGAAUAAACUAUCAAACCAAACAAUGUGGUCAAAAGUAUUGUAUUAGAGAAAGACCGUAUUGCAUUUGUAAUCCUAAACUGAAUAGGUUCUCCACCUCUUCUGAUUAGCUUGGGUAACCAUGAUAUGCUGCUAGGUGUCACUCAUGGUUUGUGAAAGCCCUAAACGUGUAUAAUCACUAAAGGGAGAGUUGAAAGUAAGUUUCAAUUCACAAUCGAUUUGAAAUGGUUUUAAUCGCCCACUGCCUCACUAAAAGGAACCUAAUGGAUCAUACACCGUGUAAGGUGGAGAUUGAAGAAAGAAUGGAGAUGAGUAAGAAUAAUUAAAUGGUUUAAUUAUUUAUGGCAAGGAUUAAUUAAUAUGUUAAUUAAUCAAACGAAUAAGUUCGUUAAAGACCUCGGGAUAGUUUUGGACCUUAAGGCCCAAUGGGCUUCGAACGUCACGCCCAUUGACUUAAGUUGUAUGACAACUUAAUAACAAAUAAUUUACAAAGGCCUUAAAAGCCCAAUGAAACCCUAUGGCCGGCCAUUUUGUUAAAGGAGUGGGUUUUGGACUUAAUUAC
rnacentral:lncRNA from 1 species